CGUAUAAAGACAACUCUUUGGAGGAUAUCGCGAUUCUUGUACCUUCACGAACCCUAUUCUCCUCUCUUCUUUACGGCCCGACAAUGCCGCUUUACCAAGCCCUCUGGAAAUUUAUAUCAAAGACCUUGCUUUACGCUAUCACGCUCCAU